rnacentral:rRNA from 1 species
GGGCCCGCACAAGCGGUGGAGUAUGUGGUUUAAUUCGAUGAUACGCGAGGAACCUUACCAGGGCUUAAAUGUAAGUUGCAUUAGUUAGAGAUAGCUAUUUCUUCGGACUACUUACAAGGUGCUGCAUGGUUGUCGUCAGCUCGUGCCGUGAGGUGUCAGGUUAAGUCCUAUAACGAGCGCAACCCCUGUCGUUAGUUGCCAGCAAGUUAAGUUGGGCACUCUAGCGAGACUGCCAGUGCAAACUGUGAGGAAGGUGGGGAUGACGUCAAAUCAUCACGGCCCUUACGUCCUGGGCUACACACGUGCUACAAUGGCCGGUACAGAGAGCAGCCACUACGCGAGUAGGAGCGAAAUCUAUAAAACCGGGUCUCAGUUCGGAUCGGAGUCUGCAACUCGACUCCGUGAAGCUGGAAUC